CCACUGGUGGUUCAGCGGUAGAAUUCUUGCCUUGCAUAUGAGACCCUGGUUCAAUUCCUGGCCAAUGAA
rnacentral:tRNA from 1 species